rnacentral:hammerhead_ribozyme from 1 species
AUACAACUGAUAAGUUCAAAAUAGGACGAAACUCGCGUCUUGGAU